CCUACGGGGGGCAGCAGUGGGGAAUAUUGGACAAUGGGGGGAACCCUGAUCCAGCGACGCCGCGUGAGUGAAGAAGUAUUUCGGUAUGUAAAGCCCUAUCAGCAGGGAAGAAAGAAGACGGUACCUGACUAAGAAGCCCCGGCUAACUACGUGCCAGCAGCCGCGGUAAUACGUAGGGGGCGAGCGUUAUCCGGAUUCACUGGGUGUAAAGGGAGCGUAGACGGCCGUGCAAGCCAGGAGUGAAAGCCCGGGGCCCAACCCCGGGACUGCUCUUGGAACUGUGCGGCUGGAGUGCGGGGGGGGCAGGCGGAAUUCCUGGUGUAGCGGUGAAAUGCGUAGAUAUCAGGAGGAACACCGGCGGCGAAGGCGGCCUGCUGGACCGCGACUGACGUUGAGGCUCGAAAGCGUGGGGAGCGAACAGGAUUAGAUACCCCUGUAGUC
rnacentral:rRNA from 1 species